rnacentral:tRNA from 1 species
GGGGAUGUAACUCAGUGGUAGAGCACUUGCCUUGCAUGCAUGAGCCUGGGUUCAGUCCCCACAGCUCUA